rnacentral:rRNA from 1 species
UACGUAGGUGACAAGCGUUGUCCGGAUUUACUGGGCGUAAAGAGCGCGCAGGCGGUCGUUCAAGUCGAGUGUGAAAGCCCCCGGCUCAACUGGGGAGGGUCACUCGAUACUGAUCGACUCGAAGGCAGGAGAGGGAAGUGGAAUUCCCGGUGUAGUGGUGAAAUGCGUAGAUAUCGGGAGGAACACCAGUGGCGAAGGCGGCAUCCUGGACCAUAACUGACGCUGAGGCGCGAAAGCUAGGGGAGCAAACGGG